GACGAACGCUGGCGGCGUGCUUAACACAUGCAAGUCGAACGGAAAGGCCCUGCUUGCCGGGUACUCGAGUGGCGAACGGGUGAGUAACACGUGGGUGAUCUGCCCUGCACUUCGGGAUAAGCCUGGGAAACUGGGUCUAAUACCGGAUAGGAGCCAUUUUUAGUGUGAUGGUUGGAAAGUUUUUUCGGUGUAGGAUGAGCUCGCGGCCUAUCAGCUUGUUGGUGGGGUAAUGGCCUACCAAGGCGGCGACGGGUAGCCGGCCUGAGAGGGUGGACGGCCACAUUGGGACUGAGAUACGGCCCAGACGCCGACGGGAGGCAGCAGGGGGGAAUAUUGCACAAGGGGCGCAAGCCGGAUGCAGCGACGCCGCGGGGGGGAGGACGGCCUUCGGGUUGGAAACGCAUUUCGCUAGGGACGAAGCUUUUUGUGACGGUACCUAGAGAAGAAGCACCGGCUAACUACGUG
rnacentral:rRNA from 1 species